ACCUACAUACUUGUUCGUC
rnacentral:siRNA from 1 species